rnacentral:rRNA from 1 species
CCUACGGGGGGCAGCAGUGGGGGAUAUUGCACAAUGGGGGAAACCCUGAUUCAGCGACGCCGCGUGUGCGAAGAAGUAUUUCGGUAUGUGAAGCCCUAUCAGCAGGGAAGAAGAAAUGACGGUACCUGAGUAAGAAGCACCGGCUAAAUACGUGCCAGCAGCCGCGGUAAUACGUAUGGUGCAAGCGUUAUCCGGAUUUACUGGGUGUAAAGGGAGCGCAGGCGGCACGGCAAGCCUGAUGUGAAAGCCCGGGGCCCAACCCGGGGACUGCAUUGGGAACUACCGGGCUGGAGUGCCGGAGAGGUAGGCGGAAGUCCUAGUGGAGCGGUGAAAUGCGUAGAUAGUAGGAGGAACACCAGUGGCGAAGGCGGCUUACUGGACGGUGACUGACGCUGAGGCUCGAAAGCGUGGGGAGCAAACAGGAUUAGAUACCCUUGUAGUC